rnacentral:hammerhead_ribozyme from 1 species
CCCCUCAUGAGGAGUCCCACAAUAGGACGAAACGGCCGUCCAGUGC